CCAGGCUUGAACAGCGAGUGACCACUCCUGAAAGGGAGCUUCCGCAAGGACACUCGUAGAGGUGCUGCAUGGCUGUCGUCAGCUCGUGUCGUGAGAUGUUGGGUUAAGUCCCGCAACGAGCGCAACCCUUGUUUGCUGUUGCCAUCAGGUUAUGCUGGGCACUCUGCAAAGACUGCCGGUGAUAAACCGGAGGAAGGUGGGGAUGACGUCAAGUCAGCAUGGCCUUUAUGUCUGGGGCUACACACGUGCUACAAUGGCCGGUACAAACCGUCGCGAGCCCGCGAGGGGGAGCUAAUCGGAGAAAGCCGGUCUCAGUUCGGAUAGCAGGCUGCAACUCGCCUGCUUGAAGUUGGAAUCGCUAGUAAUCGCGGAUCAGCAUGCCGCGGUGAAUACGUUCCCG
rnacentral:rRNA from 1 species